GCUCCCUGGCGGCGAGUGGCGGACGGGUGAGUAAUGCAUAGGAAUCUGCCCAGUAGCGGGGGACAACUUGGGGAAACUCAAGCUAAUACCGCAUACGCCCUACGGGGGAAAGACUUCGGUCACUAUUGGAUGAGCCUAUGUCUGAUUAGCUUGUUGGUGGGGUAACGGCCUACCAAGGCGACGAUCAGUAGCUGGUCUGAGAGGACGAUCAGCCACACUGGGACUGAGACACGGCCCAGACUCCUACGGGAGGCAGCAGUGGGGAAUAUUGGACAAUGGGCGAAAGCCUGAUCCAGCAAUGCCGCGUGUGUGAAGAAGGCCUGCGGGUUGUAAAGCACUUUCAGUGGGGAGGAUAAUGACGUUACCCACAGAAGAAGCACCGGCUAACUCUGUGCCAGCAGCCGCGGUAAUACAGAGGGUGCGAGCGUUAAUCGGAAUUACUGGGCGUAAAGCGCGCGUAGGCGGUUUGGUCAGUCGGAUGUGAAAGCCCCGGGCUUAACCUGGGAAUUGCAUUCGAUACUGCCAGGCUAGAGUGUAGUAGA
rnacentral:rRNA from 1 species